CACGUAGGGGACGAGCGUUGUCCGGAUUCAUUGGGCGUAAAGCGCGCGUAGGCGGCUCGGAAAGUCGGUCGUGAAAUGCCGGGGCUCAACCCCGGGACUGCGUCCGAUACUUCCGGGCUGGAGGUAGGUAGGGGAGAUUGGAAUUCCUGGUGUAGCGGUGAAAUGCGCAGAUAUCAGGAGGAACACCGGUGGCGAAGGCGGAUCUCUGGGCCUUACCUGACGCUGAGGCGCGAAAGCUAGGGGAGCGAACAGG
rnacentral:rRNA from 1 species